GACGAACGCUGGCGGCGUGCCUAACACAUGCAAGUCGAACGAGAAUCUUUGAACAGAUCUUUUCGGAGUGACGUUCAAAGAGGAAAGUGGCGGACGGGCGAGUAACGCGUGAGUAACCUGCCCAUAAGAGGGGGAUAAUCCAUGGAAACGUGGACUAAUACCGCAUAUUGUAGUUAAGUUGCAUGGCUUGAUUAUGAAAGAUUUAUCGCUUAUGGAUGGACUCGCGUCAGAUUAGAUAGUUGGUGAGGUAACGGCUCACCAAGUCAACGAUCUGUAGCCGAACUGAGAGGUUGAUCGGCCGCAUUGGGACUGAGACACGGCCCAGACUCCUACGGGAGGCAGCAGUGGGGAAUAUUGCGCAAUGGGGGCAACCCUGACGCAGCAACGCCGCGUGCAGGAAGAAGGUCUUCGGAUUGUAAACUGUUGUCGCAAGGGAAGAAG
rnacentral:rRNA from 1 species